rnacentral:lncRNA from 1 species
CUGAUUGUCUAUCUUAGAUAAAGCACUUUUGGGUUUAUAACCCCAGGCAGGCCCAGUAUUCCAUCCCGCAGCCCCCCAGUAGUUACAGUCACAACCCCAUUGUUCAUCUACUGCACAAACGUAAGGGUCUUUUGCUUGUGGUAUAUCUUUAUAAAUGGCUUGAAUCUGUGACUUAGGGAAUGGGCACUCUACAAUAUCACAGUAAUCAAAAGUGAAUGUAGCCACAUGGGUACAUGAUGAAUUAUACCAGAAAGUGUACCCACUAGCAUCUUUGGUGAUGGCCACCUGCUGGGCUUUAAGGAGGCCAACUAAGGAGAUAAUGUACCAGAGGCACAUGGUUGCAUAGAGUUAGCUUCC